AUUUAUAUAAUAUAAAUAUUAUAUUUGAUUUCCAAUCAAAAAAUCUAAAAAUUUUUAGUAUAAAUA
rnacentral:tRNA from 1 species